rnacentral:rRNA from 1 species
GACGGAGGGGGCUAGCGUUGUUCGGAAUUACUGGGCGUAAAGAGCAUGUAGGCGGAUUAAUAAGUUGGAAGUGAAAGCCCGAGGCUUAACCUCGGAACUGCUUUCAAAACUGUUAAUCUAGAGUAUGGUAGGGGGUGACGGAAUUCCUAGUGUAGAGGUGAAAUUCUUAGAUAUUAGGAGGAACACCGGUGGCGAAGGCGGUCACCUGGGCCAUAACUGACGCUGAGAUGCGAAAGCGUGGGGAGCAAAC